rnacentral:miRNA from 1 species
CCCGAGUUUGGGCAGCAGUUCA